UGGUAUGUAUAGUCUUCUAGAAUGAUCAGUAUGAAUUUCUUUUAGGAUUCUAGAGACUUGAGCAAACCUGUCAAGUAAUGAAAUGAAGCAUUUAGGAAGUCAAAGAGACAGAAGAGAGAGUAACUGAGGGUUGAUAUAAGGUCUAAAGAUGACAAAGAAAGAUAGGUUCGGGAGUCCAAGGGGAAUGACUAUCUUUGAAUAUCACAAGGAAAAAAAAUCAUCCUUGGAACCAGAAAGUGAAGCCAAAUUCUGGCUUAUCACUUGUAAAAAUUUAGUAUCAUUUCCUAGCCAUGUUUUAUUGAUAAGAAAUCUCAAAAUAAAAUCAGAAAGUCAUACUAAUCAUUAG
rnacentral:lncRNA from 1 species